UUAAGAGCUUGCUCUUAUGAAGUUAGCGGCGGACGGGUGAGUAACACGUGGGUAACCUGCCCAUAAGACUGGGAUAACUCCGGGAAACCGGGGCUAAUACCGGAUAACAUUUUGAACCGCAUGGUUCGAAAUUGAAAGGCGGCUUCGGCUGUCACUUAUGGAUGGACCCGCGUCGCAUUAGCUAGUUGGUGAGGUAACGGCUCACCAAGGCAACGAUGCGUAGCCGACCUGAGAGGGUGAUCGGCCACACUGGGACUGAGACACGGCCCAGACUCCUACGGGAGGCAGCAGUAGGGAAUCUUCCGCAAUGGACGAAAGUCUGACGGAGCAACGCCGCGUGAGUGAUGAAGGCUUUCGGGUCGUAAAACUCUGUUGUUAGGGAAGAACAAGUGCUAGUUGAAUAAGCUGGCACCUUGACGGUACCUAACCAGAAAGCCACGGCUAACUACGUGCCAGCAGCCGCGGUAAUACGUAGGUGGCAAGCGUUAUCCGGAAUUAUUGGGCGUAAAGCGCGCGCAGGUGGUUUCUUAAGUUCUGAUGUGAAAGCCCACGGGUUCAACCGUGGAGGGUCAUUGGAAACUGGGGAGACUUUGAGUGCAGAAAGAGGAAAGUGGAAUUUCCAUGUGGUAGCGGUUGAAAAUGCGUAGAGGAUAUGGAAGGAACACCAGUGGGCGAAGGC
rnacentral:rRNA from 1 species